UUGGAGUCUGGACCACUGGAGGGCACUGUGGUUCUGUCAAGUCAACCCUCACACCUUCAGCAUAGCGCUUCCAGAGCGUCAGUGAAGAGUCUCGUUUGUUUACUGAAGGAAGCCUUCACAAAACUUCGGAAACAUAAGGAUGAAAAAGUUUGCUCUUAAAUCACAGAUGUAAUCUCAACAGCAUAAGUGCGUUCGAGAGGCUUACAGACGGAGUCUGUCUGUGUUACAUGCGCGUGGGUCCCGAGAGAUGUCAAAGAUGCAAAUGAGAGCCCAUCUGCACCAAAGGCAUUGUCUUCAUUCUGCUGUAAAGAUGAGUCCUGGCUGCUUGCUGUGUCAUGGCAUUUCAACACCAUCAGAAAAUCAUUACAGUUCAGAGAGGAACAGAGUAAUGCAGCACCUCCUCAUGGUCUUCAUGAUCUUCUGAUGCAUGCUUCUCAAGGUGAGUGGCCAUUUGGUUAACAAGUUUAUGGUAGCCGUCCACAUAUCUCUGCAUAGCGAGAGUUUUGUCCUGGUUGAUGUUCUUACCCACCUCUGUUAGAUAAAUAGCACAUGCACUGCAUUACUUGUAGUCCAGUUCUCUAGUUGUCUUUACUCACAUGGUUUUAACAUUAAUUCACUUCGUUACUUGAUUACAAUUAUGCUGGAGGCAAUUAAAGCAGCUGUUUAUUUGUGACAUUAAUUUCAUAGUCAUACAAGACACAAGCAAUUCUUGUAGCACAUUAAGAAAUCAAACACACAGUAAUGGCCUCCAAGAACGCCUGGAAAUGAGAUCAACUAAGUGUGCCGAGCCCAAUAAAUGCACCAAAUAUAAUGAAGCCAGAACAACUGAAGAAGACACACAUGCCGGUACAUAAGUAUGCAAUCUAUCCAAGGUGCUGUCACUGAGUGGCUACUCCUCAUCAGAGCCUAUUUACAGGCCGGCAAUUAAAGCUCUUGUAAUUGCCGCAUUGUGCGUUUGACGUACGCAUCAGGUUUUAUGUUUGCAGAGGAAUCGUUUUAAUUUUCUGCAACGCACCGCUUUGAAUGAAGAAUGUUCUUGGGCUGUCGAGCCUGUCAUUUUCCCCCUCUUCUUCUCUGUUUAUCCUUUUCUCCCUUUAACGGAGAUGAUGAAAGGAACAGAUGGCGUGUAGUGAAUCUGAUGUCAGCUCCAGUGAGCCUGCUGUCAUAUCGUUUGCACCUUCUCAUAUCCGAUGCCAUUCGGCUGUGGGGUCGCCUGAACGCCGGACCACAAUCACUGCCAGAGGAGUGACAGGGUGCAAAGCGCAUCCCAUCAGAUAUGUAUAAAAAUAAAAUUAUGUGGUGCUGAAUUUCAUCUUUUGG